rnacentral:misc_RNA from 1 species
AACCUAGCACACCUGCGGUGUGUACCUGCGGAAGGAUCAUCAAAGAAUUUUCCAAAGAGAAAAUUGAGUUGCCUCUCUUGUAAAAGAGAGAGAAGCGCUCUUUUUUCUCCAAACAAACGAUCACAACUAUUGAAAAAAUAAUUGACUUGGUUGAUGAGAAAUUAUAAGUGUUUGCCUGAUAAUUUGAUGAUUUGGAAACAAGAGAAAGAAAUACAACUUUCAACAAUGGAUCUCAGAUCG